rnacentral:misc_RNA from 1 species
UGCACAUUGGGACCGAACUCGAGCGUGACUACAAUCCAAGCGCGUUCACACGCUCACGCGAGUGCACAUCGACGCCAACUGGUGCGCGUGUGAGUGACUCCCACGCGUUGUCUCUCGUCGCUUUUCUUCUCGACUGCGACAGGAGCUCUUCAGGGAAGGCCCGAAUCUGAGAGCGACGGGAACGAGGCGCCUCGGCCACACUCGCAUCGCAACUUUACACUCUUCGCGAUGCGCGCCGCUUUCCGUCUGGCGGCGCAGUCGUUUCGCCUCUGUCCUGCGCCUGGUGUAGCUUCAUCCCUCUCACUGAGCACUGUAGCGUCCUCCGCGUUCCGCGGCUCCCUUCUUGUUACCGCUCGAAGCUUUGCCAAGGUCUCGUCUGUUCAGGGCAAGAUCGAGGUGCCUCCUGGUGGGUUUGUGACGGCGGACGUGAGGAUCGACAUGAACGCUAGCUUUGGCGGCUCCUUUGCCCGCGGUGUGUUUGCGGAGCGAGAGAUUGGUUACGGCCGUGAGGUCAUGAAUCUGCCCGCCUACUGCAUGUACAUCAGCGAAAACGACCGCCAGCCACUGCGGGAACAGGUGCUUAUCAUGACGAAGGAGAUCUUCAGCAAAGUCGUCUACGGAACGCCCCAGGAACAGCAGUACGUCAAGCACCGCAUCCUCUCGCUCAUGUCCGGGGGAUUUUCCUACUUUACUCGCGAGCGCGACGUUUUUGACUUUGCGGAGGAGGUGCGUGCUCCCGGGGCCGACGGAGCCUUCCGCAACGGCUGCAGCUGCCUGAUGAGCGGCGAAUUUUCCUCUUACGAUCUGCAGAAACUUCCCCUCAUCGUCGAGUUCAACCGCUUCGAGGUAGACUACCGUGGCCGCCGCGGCAUCUGCCUCUUCCCCGAGGCCUCGUACCUGAACCACAGCUGCGAGCCGAACGUUGAGCUUUCCAUUACGUACAACAGCAUCAAAAACAACUUUUUCCUCAGCGCCCGCGCGGUGCGGCCCAUUCUCGAAGGCGAGGAGCUCUUUAUCAACUACAUGCCGGGCAACAACCUCCCUCUCUCGCGUCUGGCGUUGGCCAUGAAGAAGCGCUGGGGGUUUGAAUGUUCCUGCGUCAAGUGCAAGAGCCGCGCAGUGGGCGCCGUGACCAUUGUUUUUGUCGUUCUUCUGAUCCCCAUCAUUGUGUACAUCCGCCGCUUUAUUGUGGAGCGGACAAAGGAGAAGCACCGCAGCCUGUGACAGUCGAGGGGUAGCGGCUAUGGGAGGAAUGUGGACCGGAGGCGAGGAUGGCCGAGGCCUUUGGUGGGCUGACGAUUUUUGCGAUGCCCACGGCCGUCAGUGAGCCGUGUCCCCGGCAGAGACGAGAUGGCGUGCAUGUCGCUCCUGUCUGAGACAGCGCCAUACUACACAGUUUUGCGAGGUUUCGUUGUGAGUUGUUCUUCUUACAGGCCUACGUUUCGUGAAGUCGAGUUACAUCGAAAACAGAAU